AAUUAACCUCUGCAACUAGUAGACCAACUAGAUCCUUGGCAUCAUCUUUAGCCAUAGAUGACUCUCCUAUGUCUGAUCCCUACUUCUGAUUCUUGUUUCUGUCAAGCCACUUGUAGCACUGCUUCUUGAAGUGCCCAGCAUACACGCUUGCCUUCUUUCAACUUAGAUCUUGACCUAUGCUUGCCUUUAUCUCCAUGUGAGUUAGAGGACCUACUCUCUGUCC
rnacentral:lncRNA from 1 species